rnacentral:rRNA from 1 species
GACGUAGGAGGCGAGCGUUGUCCGGAUUCAUUGGGCGUAAAGAGCGCGCAGGCGGCUUGGUAAGUCGGAUGUGAAAUCCCGAGGCUCAACCUCGGGCCUGCAUCCGAUACUGCCCGGCUAGAGGUAGGUAGGGGAGAUCGGAAUUCCUGGUGUAGCGGUGAAAUGCGCAGAUAUCAGGAGGAACACCGGUGGCGAAGGCGGAUCUCUGGGCCUUACCUGACGCUCAGGCGCGAAAGCUAGGGGAGCGAACUGG